rnacentral:rRNA from 1 species
GUGAGGAAUAUUGGACAAUGGAUGGAAAUCUGAUCCAGCCAUGCCGCGUGCAGGAAGACGGCCCUAUGGGUUGUAAACUGCUUUUAUACGGGAGCAAUAAGGUCUAUGCAUAGAUUGAUGAGAGUGCCGUAUGAAUAAGCAUCGGCUAACUCCGUGCCAGCAGCCGCGGUAAUACGGAGGAUGCGAGCGUUAUCCGGAUUUAUUGGGUUUAAAGGGUGCGUAGGCGGCUUUGUAAGUCAGCGGUGAAAUUUUGCAGCUUAACUGUAAAAGCGCCGUUGAUACUGUGAAGCUAGGAUUUGGUUGCUGUGGGCGGAAUGUGUGGUGUAGCGGUGAAAUGCAUAGAGAUCACACAGAAUAUCGAUUGCGAAGGCAGCUCACAAAGCCAAUAUUGACGCUGAGGCACGAAAGUGUGGGGAUCAAACAGGAUUAGAUACCCCGGUAGUCC